AACGAACGCUGGCUGCAGGCCUAACACAUGCAAGUCGAGCGAGGACUUCGGUCCUAGCUGCUGACGUGGGAGUAACGCGUGGGAACGUGCCCUUUGCUGCGGAAUACCCCUGGAUAACUGGGAGUAAUACCGGCUGAGCCCUUUGGGGGAAAGAUUUAUCGGGGAAGGAUCGGCCCGGGUGGGAUUAGGUAGUUGGUGGGGUAAUGGCGUACUACGCCGACGUUCCUUAUCGGGGUUGGGAGGAGGAUCAGCGACAAUGGGACUGAGACACGGCGCAGAGUCGGACGGGAGGCAGCAGUGGGGAACCUUAGACAAUGGAGUAGAGUCUAAGAUAGCCAUGCCGUGGGAGCUAUGCAGGUCUUAGGGGUGUAAAGCUCUUUCAGCUGGGAAGAUAAUGACGGUACCAUAAGAAGAAGCCCCGGCUAACUCCGUG
rnacentral:rRNA from 1 species